GACGAACGCUGGCGGCGUGCUUAACACAUGCAAGUCGAACGGAAAGGCCCUGCUUUCGUGGGGUGCUCGAGUGGCGAACGGGUGAGUAACACGUGAGUAACCUGCCCUUGACUUUGGGAUAACUUCAGGAAACUGGGGUUACUACCGGAUAGGAGCUCCUGCUGCAUGGUGGGGGUUGGAAAGUUUCGGCUGGUGGGGAUGGACUCGCGGCUUACCCGCUUGUUGGUUGGGUAGUGGCUUACCAAGGCUUUGACGGGUAGCCGGCCUGGGAGGGUGACCGGGCACAUGGGGCCUGGGAUACGGCCCAGACUCCUUCGGGGGGCAGCGGUGGGGACUUGUGCACAAUGGGCGGAGGCCUGAUGCAGCGACGCCGCGUGCGGGAUGACGGCCUUCGGGUAGUAAACCGAUUUCGCCUGUAACGAGGCGUGAGUGCCGGUACUGGGGAAAGAAGCACGGGCUACUUACUU
rnacentral:rRNA from 1 species